AGUAGAACAGGUAGGACAGAGCAUUGCUUGCAGCAGAUACAUUGAACAAUGAUGACGAAGCUUCAUGUGCACUUGAUUAUUCUUUUGGGACAAACAGCAGCAAUUUGGAAGGCAGUGAGAUUUUAAAUCCACUCUUUCUACGUGAAGGACAAGAAGAGGAAGCAGCUCUACUCCAAUAAGAUGAAGAAAACGUCUGUUGCUGCUGCUCCUGUUUUCCUAGGAUGUAGAAAGGUGAAGAAACGUUUGCAAUCAAAGCACAUUACUAAUUGAUCAAAAGAGUCGAAAACAGUUUGCAGUUUUUAGGGUUUGGCAAACUAGCUGAUGUUUAAAUUUCUGUCAAAGCAGCCUAGUUGAUUUGCAGUCACAGGCAACUGUAUUGUUAGAUUAUUUUUUAUUUUCACCGAUGUAUGAAUGUGCCGGUCACGUGACAUACGACCUGCUAGGCA